AUACGGAGGGUCCAAGCGUUGUUCGGAAUCAUUGGGCGUAAAGCGGGUGUAGGCGGCUUGGUAAGUCGGAUGUGAAAUCCCAGGGCCCAACCCUGGAACUGCAUUCGAAACUGCCUCGCUAGAGUCGCGGAGAGGAUGGCGGAAUUCCCGGUGUAGGGGUGAAAUCCGUAGAUAUCGGGAGGAACACCAGUGGCGAAGGCGGCCAUCUGGACGCUGACUGACGCUCAGACCCGAAAGCGUGGGGAGCAAACAGGAUUAGAUACCCCAGUAGUCC
rnacentral:rRNA from 1 species